GGGGAUGAUCGGUUUCGACGACGAUUGUCGAUUGAAGGGAAGCGGGUCGAGGAUGCACAGUCACCUCGUUAACGAUCUGUGUAAACCAAUAGGUGCCGAACACAAUCGCACCGACUUCGCUCUGGCCGCCUGAGCCAUCGAGCGUUAAAAAGUCCGUCACCCCGGAAGUGCUUUCGGUCCGGGUGCUGGCGUCGUUUAGAGAGCCACUGGACUGCCGUAGGGUUGUGAUGCGGUAGUCGAGAUUUUUGCAACUGAGCCUGUCCAGUAAAGUCGUUUGAGCGUAGACUGGGGGCUGAGAAACUCCGUUAGUCAAACUGCACCCGGAGAAGACUUCAGGGCCAAUCGCCGGACCGGGGUUCGAUUCCCCGCAUCUCCACUU
rnacentral:tmRNA from 1 species